UACGAAGGGGGCUAGCGUUACUCGGAUUGACUGGGCGUAAAGGGCGCGUAGGCGGUUUGUACAGUCAGACGUGAAAUUCCUGGGCUCGAACCUGGGGGCUGCGUUUGAUACGUGCAGACUUGAGUUCGGAAGAGGGUCGUGGAAUUCCCAGUGUAGAGGUGAAAUUCGUAGAUAUUGGGAAGAACACCGGUGGCGAAGGCGGCGACCUGGUCCGAUACUGGACGCUGAGGCGCGAAAGCGUGGGGAGCAAACAGG
rnacentral:rRNA from 1 species